CGGCGGGCGUGGCGUGCGUGAU
rnacentral:miRNA from 1 species